GGUCAAGAGCGCCAGCGUCAAGCCCCGGCUCGCUGGCCGGCAACCCUCCUCCGCGGUGGGGUGCUCCGGGUGACGACCAGGCCGUCGCGCACACGCGACGGCAAGCGCGGGCC
rnacentral:ncRNA from 2 species